rnacentral:rRNA from 1 species
GACGAACGCUGGCGGCGUGCUUAACACAUGCAAGUCGAACGGAAAGGCCCUGCUUUUGUGGGGUGCUCGAGUGGCGAACGGGUGAGUAACACGUGAGUAACCUGCCCUUGACUUUGGGAUAACUUCAGGAAACUGGGGCUAAUACCGGAUAGGAGCUCCUGCUGCAUGGUGGGGGUUGGAAAGUUUCGGCGGUUGGGGAUGGACUCGCGGCUUAUCAGCUUGUUGGUGGGGUAGUGGCUUACCAAGGCUUUGACGGGUAGCCGGCCUGAGAGGGUGACCGGCCACAUUGGGACUGAGAUACGGCCCAGACUCCUACGGAGGCAGCAGUGGGGAAUAUUGCACAAUGGGCGGAAGCCUGAUGCAGCAACGCCGCGUGCGGGAUGACGGCCUUCGGGUUGUAAACCGCUUUCGCCUGUGACGAAGCGUGAGUGACGGUAAUGGGUGAAGAAGCACCGGCUAACUACGUG